GACGAACGCUGGCGGCGUGCCUAACACAUGCAAGUCGAACGGGGUAUUUCUUCGGAGAUACUUAGUGGCGAACGGGUGAGUAACGCGUGAGAAACCUGCCUUUCAGUGGGGGACAACAGUUGGAAACGACUGCUAAUACCGCAUAAUGUUAUUUGGGGGCAUCCUUGAAUAACCAAAGAUUUAUUGCUGAAAGAUGGUCUCGCGUCUGAUUAGCUAGAUGGCGGGGUAACGGCCCACCAUGGCGACGAUCAGUAGCCGGUCUGAGAGGAUGAACGGCCACAUUGGGACUGAGAUACGGCCCAG
rnacentral:rRNA from 1 species